GAGCAACGCCGCGUGAGGGAUGAAGGCCUCUGGGCUGUAAACCUCUUUUAUCAAGGAAGAAGAUCUGACGGUACUUGAUGAAUAAGCCACGGCUAACUCCGUGCCAGCAGCCGCGGUAAUACGGGAGUGGCAAGCGUUAUCCGGAAUUAUUGGGCGUAAAGCGUCCGCAGGCGGUCUUACAAGUCUGUCGUUAAAGCGUGGAGCUUAACUCCAUCUCGGCGAUGGAAACUGUAAGACUAGAGUGUGGUAGGGGCAGAGGGAAUUCCCGGCGUAGCGGUGAAAUGCGUAGAUAUCGGGAAGAACACCAGUGGCGAAGGCGCUCUGCUGGGCCAUAACUGACGCUCAUGGACGAAAGCUAGGGGAGCGAAAGGGAUUAGAUACCCCUGUAGUCCUAGCCGUAAACGAUGAACACUAGGUGUCGGGGGAAUCGACCCCCUCGGUGUCGUAGCCAACGCGUUAAGUGUUCCGCCUGGGGAGUACGCACGCAAGUGUGAAACUCAAAGGAAUUGACGGGGGCCCGCACAAGCGGUGGAGUAUGUGGUUUAAUUCGAUGCAACGCGAAGAACCUUACCAGGGUUUGACAUCCUGCGAAUCCCUUGGAAACUUGGGAGUGCCUUCGGGAGCGCAGUGACAGGUGGUGCAUGGCUGUCGUCAGCUCGUGUCGUGAGAUGUUGGGUUAAGUCCCGCAACGAGCGCAACCCACGUCUUUAGUUGCCAGCAUUUAGUUGGGCACUCUAGAGAGACCGCCGGUGAUAAACCGGAGGAAGGUGUGGAUGACGUCAAGUCAUCAUGCCCCUUACAUCCUGGGCUACACACGUACUACAAUGCUACGGACAAAGGGCAGCAAACUCGCGAGAGCUAGCCAAUCCCAUAAACCGUGGCUCAGUUCAGAUCGUAGGCUGCAACUCGCCUACGUGAAGGAGGAAUCGCUAGUAAUCGCAGGUCAGCAUACUGCGGUGAAUACGUUCCCGGGCCUUGUACACACCGCCCGUCACACCAUGGAAGUUGGCCACGCCCGAAGUCGUUACUCCAACCCUUGUGGAGGAGGAUGCCGAAGGUGGGGCUGAUGACUGGGGUGAAGUCGUAACAAGGUAGCCGUACCGGAAGGUG
rnacentral:rRNA from 1 species